CAGAUUAUAGCUUAUUUUAAAGCUUAUUUUUUACAUUAAUAAGAAGAAUUUAUUCUUUUCUGA
rnacentral:tRNA from 3 species